CUUAUAUCAGCGUUCGUCUUUGAAGCGGAGAUACAUUUUCAAGAUAAAGAUUUGAACGACGAAAAUUAUAAAAAUUAACGUAUUUCCCGAUUCUUGGAUGAAUACGAAACUGAAUAGCCAGGUUCCAUUUGCACUUCCUGUUACAGAAAAAAAAAACCGAGUCAGCGAGAGCUCCUUUCUAUGGUUUGUUCCAGACUUUCCUUUUGGCUGAUUGUGAUCUAAUUCCUUAAAACAAUGGUUCUGCGUAACGCAGCCAGGUAAAUCGAAUGGUCUUUUAAUGCUUAGUGACAUUUAUUUGAAGGUUUACUAAAUUUUGGGAAACGCUUCUCAUGACACAAGACUGAAAAACUGCCUGUAAACAAAUAUCAUUAAAGUCAAUGGAUUACUUAGGAACAUCCAAGCAAUAUGAUAUCAGAGACUGGCAUUUUUUAUCACUCAAUGUGGCAGAAAAACCUAAAUAAA